ensembl:lncRNA
AUGAACCCCAAAUUAGAUGUAUUGGGGGCAAAAAAUUGCUUGAGUUUGAAUUGUUUAUCAUUCUGCCUUUUGCAGACUGCACUACUUCAUGGAAAUGCACUCCUGGCUGAUAACCCAACUGCCUGGCUGCAGAUGGUGGUUUUACUAUCUAUUCACACUAAUGGAAAUGUAACUGGAACUGAUUUGAAUGAUACGAUCAAGGACCAUCAGACAAGAUCAUGCUGUAGUUACCUUUGCUUCCAGAUGAAGGCACUGACUCAUCAAGUUUCUACUUAUUCUAAGGUAUUUGAAGCACAAUUUUACAUUGACCUCUUGAUAUAAUAUUAACUUCUUUUUAAUUUUUAUUUUUAAAAUAUUUAUUUGAAAGGCAGAGUUAGAGAGCAAGAGAGAGAGGGAGAGAGAUCUUCCACCUGCUGAUUCACUCCCCAAAUGGCUGCAAUGACUAGAACUGGGCAAUCUGAAGCCAAGAGCUAGGAGCUUCAUCCUGGUCUCCCACAUGGGUGCAGGGGCCCAAGCACUUGGGCUGUCUUCCACUGCUUUCCCAUGCACAUUAGCAGGGAGCUGGAUCAGAAGUGGAGCGGUCAGGACUUGAACUGGUGCCCAUAUGGGAUGCCAGUGCAGCGGCUUAACCUGCUACACCACAGCGUUGGCUCCUAGUUUCUUCUUUUUUAAUUUUAUUCAAAAGGCAGAGUUACAGUGUGUGUGUGUGUGUGUGUGUGUGAGAGAGAGAGAGAGAGAUCUAGAGAGAGAGAGAGAGAGAUCUGUUAACUAGUUCACUCCCCAAUGGCUGGGCCAGAUAGAAGCAGGAGCCAGGAACUUCUUUUGGGUCUCCCAUUUGGGUGUGGGGGCCCAAGCAUUUGGGCCGUUCUCCACUACCUUCCCAGGCACGUUUUCAGGGUACUGGGUCAGAAGUGGAGCAGUGCCCAUAUGCGAUGCCAGCAUUGCAGGUGGUGGCUUUACCCACUAUGCCACAGUGGGUGACUAGUAUUAGUUUCUAUGUAUAGAUUUUGUAACCAGUUAUGAGAGUACUUCAGAAAGCUCAUGGAACAUGGAGUUAAAAGUUAAUUUUGGAGCCAAAAAUUUUUGAAACCAAAAAAGAGUUUUUCUAUUAUAUUCAUUUUCACAAAUCUUUUGGAGACCUUUUGUAUGCAUGGAUAUCAAGAUUAUUUUUGAACCUAAAUAAGCUGAGCUUAAUUACAUUUCCCACAAACUUUUUGAAGCAUCCUUUAGAAUAGUUAGCUUUUAGGGGCAGGAGUUUGGUCAGUUAGGUCACUUGCAUCUCAUAUUAGAGUACUUGGGUUCAAGUCUUGUCUUGAUUCCACCCUCAUGCUACUGAAUUGAGUUGAAGCUCCUGGCUUCAACCUAGCUUUGCCCUGCCAUUGCAGGUGUUUGGGGAGGGAACCAGCAGAUGAGAGCACUCACUGUGUGUUUCUGUCUCUGUCUCUGCUGCAGUAAAGGAGUAGUGUGCUUUUAGAUAAGAGUUCCCAUUCCUCCUUCCUCUCAUUAGAUACACUGGCUAUAAAAAGGUCCAGAUUUUAAAGGGAGAUAUUCCUGAGAUAAUUAGAAAAUUCUGUCAGUUAUAAGAAAUAUAGUGAGUACAGAUUAAGAUUCCGUAAAUUAUAUCAGAAGAACUGGAAUAAACUAGUAUCAGUAAUUAUUCCA